UAUUGUUGCAUAUAAAAAAUUUUAUUUCUAAAGGUUAUUUUCUGUAAAAGUAGUGUUUUUAAUUUUUAUUUUUUGUUGAUGCAAACCCUGUUAAUGAAAAAAUUAUGUUUUUGUAGAUCGUAAAAGAGAUGGAUUGUGACAUACCAGGGACGUCAAAAAACUGGUGUUAUGCGGUUGUUUAUGAGUUUCUCAUAGACGCCACAUAUUCAGAAAUUCCAAUUACAUGGCUUAUAUUAGGUUCCGAUAAUCGGGAUACCGAUAAUCGGCGGUACUGGUGGCCGCCUAGAACAGCUAACUGUCCACUGAUGAUUGCAAACUGUGGCAGUCCUGAUUUUAAAACAUGGGAUUGCUACGAUGUGAAGAUAAAAUAUUAUAAAAUAUUGCAAGUCUCUUCGAUCAGCACGGAAACAUGCAUCAGAUGCCACUUACAAGACGACUGACGAGGAACAGUUAGGCCGAGGACAAAGGCAACAUUCUCCAUAUAAUCGCUUUGGCAGCGAUGAGGAACAGGAUCAUAGCAAACGAAAAUAUAUGAAAAAAAAACAAUGCGAGACUGUUGUUUCAAAGCUACCAUCAUGCCCUGAGAACCUCGAAUUAUAUAAAUACGAAAGAACAAUCAAAGGAACAAACAAUGGACACGAAGGUGCAACGUCACUACAAGAAAAACGAAACAAAACGAUCACUACCGUUUCUAUGGUUUCACCAUCAUGUUCUGAUAAUCUUGAAUCAGGCGACAGUGAAGAAGUAACUAAUGGACAAAAAAAAGACGUUUCAAUCUUUAAGGAACAAUGAGAAGAUAUACCCGUAAUAACACAAGGGGAUCUUUUGUUACUUACUGCACAGCAGAAUGAAGAACAUUUUAACAUAACAAGCAGCCUACAGCAACUAUUACGAAUGCAAGCAAAAACAAACUUUGAAGAAUCAACAACUGCUAGCCGUGAAAAAUGCUAUCAAAGGUCAUGCAUUAAAUGUGGAGAAUGAAGAUAAUUUGAUUUCACCAUUUUUACCAUUGGCUAAAAUAGAAGAUAUUAAAGAGAUGGAUUCAAUUUUGAAAACUUCAAGCGAAGCAGUCACACAGUUUAUAAGUUUUAUAUAUUCAUAUUUUUAUCUUAAAACGAUGUAUUGAAAUAUUCGUAAUUACAUAAUAUCAAUAUUAAAGACAUUAAUUUAUUAAUAAUAAUAAUAAUGUAAUAUCAAUAUCAUAUUAUAAUAUAUAAAAAUACAUUUUUUUAUAAAAACUAUAUCAAAAAUUGGAGGAAACAACCUUAGGGACAGUAUUCAUCGCACUUUACAAAAGAUUUUUACCAAUGAGUGUGGCAUGCAGUGUUCGGAAAGGUAUACGGAACAACUUCCGUUUACAUGAUUUAAAUAUCAUGACAAUUAUUAGAAAACAGAUUAUCUUGCAACAUGCAGUGCUUACGGAGUUUCAAUUUGAUGCUGUAGCGGUUGAAUGAUUUUGCUUCGCAAAACAGAAGAAAAACAG